GACGAACGCUGGCGGCGCGCUUAACACAUGCAAGUCGAGCGAGAACCGGGGCUUCGGCCCCGGGGACAGCGGCGAACGGGUGAGUAACACGUGGGUAACCUGCCCUCGGCACCGGGAUAGCCCGGGGAUACCCGGAUUAAUACCGGACAGCCUCCGGAGCCUUCGGGCGCCGGAGAAAAGGUGGCUUCGGCUUCCGGCCGAGGAGGGGCCUGCGGCGGAUUAGCUUGUUGGCGGGGUAAUGGCCCACCAAGGCGACGAUCCGUAGCUGGUCUGAGGGGAGAAUCAGCCACACUGGGAAGGAGACACGGCCCAGAGUCCUACGGGAGGCAGCAGUGGGGAAUCUUGCACAAGGGGCGCAAGCCUGAUGCAGCGACGCCGUGUGCGGGAAGAAGGCCUUCGGGUUGUAAACCGCUUUCAGGAGGGACGAAGCUCCUCGGGUUAAUAGCCCAGAGGGUGACGGUACCUCCAGAAGAAGCCCCGGCUAACUACGUGCCAGCCGCCGCCGUAAGAC
rnacentral:rRNA from 1 species